UCGCUGAUUUGCCUGGGAGGGGGUUUCUGGGUUGCUAAUUUGCCUGGGCGGGGGUCCCUGGGUCUCUGAUUUGCCUGGGAGGGGGUUUCUGGGUUGCUAAUUUGCCUGGACGGGGGUCCCUGGGCAAGAAAAGGUGGAAGACCCUGUAUUAGAUCUACAUGAGUGCCUCCAGAGUCGAUUGGAAUCUCCUUCUGUGUGUUAUGACAACAACAGAACCUGUCUCUUUUUCUGCUUCCAGGUCAGUGCGAGAGGGCGGGACCAGUGGUGUCAGCGGGUCAAGAGGGAGUAGUGGACCUCCACUACAACCAAUCGGACCCCUCGGAACCAAUUCAGGUCUCCGCCCACCAAAACCAGAACUUGACACAAACUCAACUCGAUGAUGGUCAGAGGGUUGGAUGUGACUCCAUCGAACAAGACUCUUUAAAUGCUAAUAGGGAUGAAGAGGAGGAGGAAGAUGGUGAUAGAAAGUUGAAGGGCGAGGAUGAUGAUGACUCCUCCUUCUCAGACACAGGCAGUUUGGUAGAGCUCCACCCUUCUGUGUCUCCAGAGACUACAUGUCCCAUCAGCCCCGUAGCAGGUUGUCCAGACGAACCCUCCUACAGUAACCCUGAAGGGGUUCCACCACAAAGCCUACAGGACCUACCUCCACCACAGAACCUACCACCUCCACCACAGACCCUAGCACUGCCCUCCUAGCCUCCCUAGAGGAGCUAGGGGAACGUAAAGAUCACUCCCACCUUCCUCAGUCCCUCCAUCAGGUGUGUGCCCGUCCCUCUCCAUUCUAUAUAUUGUAUUUCUACCUGCCUGCGCUGUUCUCAAGUCAACAUUUAUCUGGCAACCUGGUGUAGGUGUGAUUCCCUCUGUGGUUAGCUGUAAUUCCUCACUAUUAAGCAAAAGUAUGUGGACACCCCAGAACAUGAGAACAUAUGAAAGCUGGUGGUUCCUUUUAACAUGAGUCUUCAAUAUUCCCAGGUAAGAAGUUUUAGGUUGUAGUUAUUAUGGACUAUUUACCUCUAUACCAUUUGUAUUUCAUUAACCUUUGACUAUUGGAUGUUCUUAUUGGCACUUUAGUAUUGCCAGUGUAACAGUAUAGCUUCCGUCCCUCUCCUUGCCCCUACCUGGGCUCGAACCAGGAACACAUCGACAACAGCCAUCCUCGAAGAUUCAUUACCCAUCGCUCCACAAAAGCCGCGGCCCUUGCAGAGCAAGGGGAACAACUACUCCAGGUCUCAGAGCGAGUGACGUUUGAAACUCUAUUAGCGCGCACCCCGCUAACUAGCUAGCCAUUUCACAUCGGUUACACCAGCCUAAUCUCGGGAGCUGAUAGACUUCAAGUCAUAAACAGCGCAAUGUUUGAAGCAUUGCGAAGAGCUGCUGGCAAACGCACGAAAGUGCUGUUUGAAUGAAUGCUUACGAGCCUGCUGCUGCCUACCAUCGCUCAGUCAGACUGCUCUAUCAAAUCAUAGACUUAAUUAUAACAUAAUAACACACAGAAAUACGAGCCUUAGGUCAUUAAUGUGGUCAAAUCCGGAAACUAUAAUUUCGAAAAUAAAACGUUUAUUCUUUCAGUGAAAUACGGAACCGUUCUGUAUUUUAUCUAACGGGUGGCAUCCAUCAGUCUAAAUAUUCCUGUUACAUUGUACAACCUUCAAUGUUUUGUAAUAAUUAUGUAAAAUUCUGGCAAAUUAGUUUGCAGCGAGCAAAGUUUAAUAUUGCCCGCUAACAUGAAUUUCUUUUAACUAAAUAUGCAGGUUUAAAAAUAUAUACUUCUGUGUAUUGAUUUUAAGAAAGGAAUUGAUGUUUAUGGUUAGGUACAUUUGUGCAACGAUUAUGCGCUUUUGAAAAUCCCCCGUUUGGCGAAGUAGACUGUCUUUGUUAGGAAGAAAUAGUCUUCACAGUUCGCCAUGAGCCAGGCGGCCCAAACUGCUGCAUAUACCCUGACUCUGUUGCACAGAAUGCAAGAGAAGUGACACAAUUUAUUUACCUAGUUAAAAGAAAUUCAUGUUAGCAGGCAAUAUUAAUUAGCCAACAUCACCCAACAUCAGAGCCCCGACCUCACUAAUGCUCUUGUGACUGAAUGGAAGACCCUGCAGCAAUGUUCCAACAUCUAGUGGAAAACCUUCUCAAAAGAGUGGAGGCUGUUAUAGCAGCAAAGGAGGGACCAACUCCAUAUUAAUGCCCAUGAUGUUGGAAUGAGAUGUUUGACAAGCAGGUGUCCACAUACUUUUGGUCGUGUAGUGUAUUUACCAGACUGACUGAACACACACACACACACACACACACACACAGACAGCCAUUACAGUGUGUGUGAGUGUGGUAUAAUCCCUGUCAUUAUGAUACAAAGAGCUCUGGGUGAAGUGAAAAUGUGUUGUCUAUUCCCUCCUCCACCAUUAGGGGCACUGCUGUCAUUUCUGAUCAGCACCUCUCUGCAUCUGUCUACUCCAAUGAUGUAAAUACAUCAUUGGUCUACUCCCUCCCUCCUCCCAACACUUUCAACUGUCUCCUGGGGGCGCGUUCAGGUGGGUUCAGCGUUAGAGUGUUCAGAUAUAAAUGUAUUGUUGAGAACAGACAUGGCCCAAAUGGAACCCUGGACCCUAGCACAGACUGGGAGGAUUUGACCGGUGCAGUCAAUAUGGUAAUCGCUCCACCUUGCCCUCUGAUAGGUUAGGUGAAAGUUUCACCAUAUUUAUUAUGGCAAUCAAAUCCUCUCAGAUCUUCACAUUCGCAUAGAGCAGCGGUUCCUAAACUAGGGGUCGCAACCCCAUGUGCCUAAUAUGAAAAUGGUGUCACGGGAGAAUUUCAAAAAUCCUGACAAAAAGAAAAUACAAAACAAAUCAUGUUACUGUAUAUUAUAAUAUCGUCUUUGUAUCUCAAAAUCAUGUUACUGUAAAUUAUAAUAUCGUCUUUGUAUCUCAAAAUCAUGUUACUGUAUAUUAUAAUAUCGUCUUUGUAUCUCAAAAUCAUGUUACUGUAUAUUAUAAUAUCGUCUUUGUAUCUCAAAAUCAUGUUACUGUAUAUUAUAAUAUCGUCUUUGUAUCUCAAAAUCAUGUUACUGUAUAUUAUAAUAUCGUCUUUGUAUCUUAAAAUCAUGUUACUGUAUAUUAUAAUAUCGUCUUUGUAUCUCAAAAUCAUGUGGUUAACCUUAAAAAUCUAAAUGAAAAUGAUUCAAAUCUAAAGGGUAAUAUUCAACUAGAUCCUGGAAAGAGGCUACACUGUACCGGUGAAUCGGUUGGACCCGCUACACUAUGAAACCACACAAUAUUGCAGAGACUUUGAUAUUACCAGCCGCAAUUUAUAUAGUGAAAGCAAUGUGUGGGGAGGGAAGAGGCACAGAAACUCACAUCAAUACAUUUGUCAAAUAACAGUGUUUUAAUGAAGAAUUCAUGCUAUUGCUAGCAAUCAACAGGAAACUCUUAAUGACUCAAACUGCCAUAUGGAAGCAUUGUAUGGCACAACGAGAGCAACUGGCGCCAAACGAGCUGAGCAGAGAACUCUGACUACAUCAAACCACAUCCACUGCGCACGCCUGUUCACAAAACUUUGUGGAGAUAUGGGAUCAGAACAUGACAAUGUUGUAUUUCACAGCGAAGCUUGGUGGUUAUCGAUGGGGAGUGGUGGAAAGAUGUUUUUCAUUAAGAGAGGAACUCUUGUAGUUCACAAUGGAGGUUAAAAAAAAACUUGGUUGACUUUCUGUGUAAUGAAAAGAAAACGAGUCUCCUUGCCUAUAUAUCAGACACAUU
rnacentral:lncRNA from 13 species